ACGCUCGACACCUACGGGAGGCAGCAGUCGGGAAUAUUGCGCAAUGGAGGAAACUCUGACGCAGUGACGCCGCGUAUAGGAAGAAGGUUUUCGGAUUGUAAACUAUUGUCGUUAGGGAAGAGAAAGGACAGUACCUAAGGAGGAAGCUCCGGCUAACUACGUGCCACAGCCGCGGUAAUCUGAGCGGGCGUGGCAAGGC
rnacentral:rRNA from 1 species